rnacentral:rRNA from 1 species
CGGACGGGUGAGUAAUGCCUAGGAAUCUGCCUGGUAGUGGGGGACAACGUUUCGAAAGGAACGCUAAUACCGCAUACGUCCUACGGGAGAAAGCAGGGGACCUUCGGGCCUUGCGCUAUCAGAUGAGCCUAGGUCGGAUUAGCUAGUUGGUGAGGUAAUGGCUCACCAAGGCGACGAUCCGUAACUGGUCUGAGAGGAUGAUCAGUCACACUGGAACUGAGACACGGUCCAGACUCCUACGGGAGGCAGCAGAC